rnacentral:rRNA from 1 species
GGGCCCGCACAAGCGGCGGAGCAUGCGGAUUAAUUCGAUGCAACGCGAAGAACCUUACCAAGGCUUGACAUGCACUGGAAACGCUCAGAGAUGGGUGCCCCUUCGGGUCGGUGCACAGGUGGUGCAUGGUUGUCGUCAGCUCGUGUCGUGAGAUGUUGGGUUAAGUCCCGCAACGAGCGCAACCCUCGUCCUAUGUUGCCAGCGGGUUAUGCCGGGGACUCAUAGGAGACUGCCGGGGUCAACUCGGAGGAAGGUGGGGAUGAGGUCAAAUCAUCAUGCCCCUUAUGUCUUGGGCUUCACGCAUGCUACAAUGGCCGGUACAGAGGGCUGCGAUACCCGUGAGGUGGAGCGAAUCCCUUAAAGCCGGUCUCAGUUCGGAUUGGGGUCUGGCAACUCGACCCCAUGAAGUCGGAGUCGCUAGUAAUCGCAGAUCAGCAACGCUG